ensembl:lncRNA
UUUGUCAACGGAGAGGGUUCAUAGUGAUUGUUUGGAUAUGGGGUGAAAUUGGUGGUCAAAGCGCCAUGGCGUUGGCUUUUAAGUGCCUGUUGUGUUUUACUGUGUGUGUACAGAAAAGCUGGGUCACGUGUGUGCAGUAUUGUGGCAGCAGGAGCUUGAGUCUGACCAAUGGGGAUUCAUGAGAACAAGGCGGUGUUCCAAAACAUACUGAGUCGCCUAACUAGACUGCAUUCGUAGCGCUUUUUGGAAUUGAGUUCAAAAUUCUAGACAGCGUGUUCGAGAGCGGUUUAAUUCGUUUAGCUGAACUGAUCCCGAGCACGCCCUCGGUGCUAAAAAUGCUGUCUACUUUAGGCGGCUCAGUACGGUUUUAAACACAGCCUGCGUGUUUUUCCCCUUGCUUUCAUUUUUGUUCCGCCCUUCUGGGCUACUUGGACAGGACAUUAAAAAAAAUUACAUAAAAGUAAACAUCUUAGGUACGAACAGUCCGAGGUAGCACAAAGGAGAUAGUGGUGUCCUUUUAGAUGUCGUUAUUGUGGUUCAAAUAACAUUUCAGUUCACCUCAAACAACUGUAAAUAGACUUGCUCUCUUCUUAAGACUUUUAAACAUUUAAUAGGUAUUGAAAUAUACUUGGGUAGUUUUACAUAACUGCGUACCCUUGCCAGGGUAAAAGUGUAGCUUGAAUGUACUGACAAGCAUUCAUGGGAAACGAAAAUAUAGGAGCCUAUCAGAGUGACGGAUAGCUGCUUCUGCCCUAACGUCACCCAGUCUGACGCUGAGCGUUCUUGUUGUUGCUUCUCUGUGGUCAAGAGGGCAGAGGUGGCUGGGCAGAGGGAGAUCUGCGGUCAGAUCGUAGGAUUGAUGAGUGAGUUUCUAGGGGGAACUGUGAGGAAGUCCAUCUCCAGCCCACCCGUGGGCCACAGCAGCCCCACAUCAAACAGACCAGCUCCACUGUGAUGUAUGGCGGCUGCGCUGCACUUUCAACCAGAGUCGAGAAGGUCCAUCAAGGGAUUUAUCUCAAGGGAGGAUGAAAGGAGAAGCAGAGGCGUCUGCCAAACAAAGGCUCAUGGGGGCCAACAGUACAGCUGUAUGGAGGAGGAGAGAAUCCAUCACGGCUGGCUGAGGGCGUCUUGGGUCAGCGCCACAGGACUGAAGCCUCUCACCGUGCCUGGCACCUGCUUGAACGGACGGCGUGGAAACCAUGCAGCACACACUCCAGCCAGCCUUGAGAGAGGCAGCCAGGACAGAAUGUACACUGAUCCUGAACACCCCCUAUUUCAUCCGAGCCUCUCCCCCAGCUCACAAUGCUUAGAAGCAGAGAAGUGA